UACGUAGGGGGCAAGCGUUGUCCGGAUUUAUUGGGCGUAAAGCGCGUGUAGGCGGCCAGAUAGGUCUGCUGUGAAAACUCGAGGCUCAACCUCGAGCUGUCGGCGGAAACCAUCUGGCUAGAGUCCGGAAGAGGAGAAUGGAAUUCCCGGUGUAGCGGUGAAAUGCGCAGAUAUCGGGAAGAACACCCGUGGCGAAGGCGGUUCUCUGGGACGGUACUGACGCUGAGACGCGAAAGCGUGGGGAGCGAACAGG
rnacentral:rRNA from 1 species